GGCCAAAAGUACAAAUAGAUAUUUUAUCUCCUUAUAGUUUCUCUAAAACAUAUGUGCUAGAGUUUCAAAAAUAUUUUUGAAAUGUUUUUAGAAGCUCCCUUAAAAUUUUAUAAGAGUUUUUUUUUGGUAAUGGAAACGAGUUUUCUGUUUUCAAAUAGAGUUUUCUACUAACUAUUGUUUGAGGGCAUCAAAUUUGAAUAGAUAUUUAAUUCACAGAACCUAUUUUUUGAUGCAUCCAAAAUAAGUUUCAUUGUGGACGGAGUCUUGUCUUACUCAAAAUUUUUCCUGUUUGGUUUAGUUUCAUAUUCAGUUUUGAAAAAUAAUUUUCAAAAAUUUAUUUUCUUCAAGUUUUUUGAUUUUUUUUUUGAGAAUUUCUUAAAAAAUAUUGCUUUUUAAAAAAAUUAUUGUUUUAAUUUUUUUAUUAUAAUUUUUUCCAUUUUAAAAUUACCAUUGAGGACAAAAGAAAACCACUCCGCCUUUUCUUCCACCGCCAUCCACCACUAGGGCUGGCCUCGACAUUUGGGUUGCCCUAGCCCGAUUAAAAUUAGUUUGCCCUCGUACUAUUAAUACAUUACCGAAAGAAAUCAUACAUUAUAAUGAAAAUAAAAUCAGGUACCUUAUAUUUUUAACUUGAAUUAUAUAAAAAAAAUCAAAAUCAAAUGUAGAAUCCCUUUAAUUAUAGUUUAUGGUGCGCUUUAGGAUUAGACAAUCCGAUUCAAAGGUAACCCUCAAUUGAAUUUUUGAAGGCAAUUUUUCAUUAAGUCGUCGUAUUUUAACUUAUCUAGGAACUCAAUUUCAUAGAAGACUUAGUCAAUUCACCACUUAAGCUAUCUUACUGGCAUGGUGUUUAAAAGGUAAGUUAUCACGCUCAACUUAGUAAAACUCAUCUCCGCCAACCACCACUUUCACCGGUAUAAUCAACAAAAUUCGUAAGCAACUCAUACUAUUUGAAAAACCCUCUUUCCAUAAAACUUUUAAAUUAAAGAUGUUCAAUCGCAUUUUGUACUUCUCUCGGCAUAUUUUUUUUAAAUGUCUAAUUUCUUGAAAUACCCAUCCUCAUGAAUAUUUUUUGUUCAUUAUGUUCCAAAAAUUUUUUAAUUUAGUGCGCAAUGCUUCGUCAAUUACCCUUCAUCAGUAGUUCUUGAACCACCACUGCUGCUUUCUCCCACGGUCCCCCUCACAUAUCACCCAUCUCCAGAGACUCCAUCAUCAUUGCUCACACCCUUCGUACAAUUCUUGCCAAUUUAAUAAUCUAGGAUUUUUUUUAAUGAAAAAACUCUGUAGAGGGUUGAAUUAAGGCAUUAGUUAGAUUUUGAUUACAUUUUAUCUAUCUAUCUAUCUAUCUAUCUUGUCAGGCUUUAUCCAUUUUUCUUCUUAAAAUUGUUAAAGAGAUAGGAACAUAAGUGACACUUCAGAGGGACUAUAAUAAGGUGAUAUGAAACAUUUAACAAAAUAUAUAUAUAUAUAUAUGUGUAUGCGCGCGCCAGCAUAUACCAUAUAGAUAAGCGUAUAUAUAAAGGUGUAUACAAAAUUGAAAAUGCCAAUAGCACAAAUUCACACAUGAACCCAGCAGCAUCAAUGGUUGGGAUUUUUGUAAUUGCUGCAUGUUUCUCAACAAUUGAUGUAGGUUAUGUAGUUGAUAGGGUUUCCAAUUUGUUUUUAUACAUGGGGACACAGCUUCUCUGAAUAUCAAUGUUUUGGAUUGUACUGUGCAAUCCAAAACAUUGAUAUUCAGAGAAGCUGUGGCCCCAUGUAGAAAAACAAAUUGGAAACUCGGGUCAACUACAUAACCUGCAAUCCAAACCUUUGAAAUAUUUUUUGAAUCUAUUUUGAUAAUUCAAAUUGUUCAUAUUAUAGAUUCCGUCGUAAAGAUCAAUCUUCUAAAAAAUUAUGUUAAUCGAAUACAUGGGGACACAACUUCUCUGAAUAUCAAUGUUUUGGAUUGUACUGUGCCAUCCAAACAUUUAAACUUCAUUUUGAAUCUAUUUUGAUAAUCUAAACUGUUCAUAUUAUAGACUCCGUCGUAAAGAUCAAUCUUUUAAAAAAUUAUGUUAAUCGAAUACAAAAUGUUAUCCAUUAAGUAAUAUUUUUAUAAUUUAAUAAAUGAGUUUGACACACAAUAUUAUAUCAAUUUAUCUUUAUGUAAAUUGAUAUUGAUCUUGACCUAUACCCAAUCAACAUGAUUUUUUAAUGUAUUAAAUUCUUAAUGAGAUAUAACAUAUGAACGAUAUAAAUAUUUAAAAUAGGCUCAAAACGAGACCCAAAAUAUUUGGAGUAAGCCAAUGUUUUCCAAAAUUGGAUUGCGUAGAAACGUGGUCCAAUACAUGGUGUGUGUGAGUAAGAGAGAGGAGGAGGAGAGAUGGUAGGGGCGGGAGUUGCCUGGAAGUGGGAAUGAGGUGGGUUACUGUGGGUAUGAAAAAUAGGGUUAGUUUUGGCAUAUUGAUAGGCAAAUUGCUCCUCCCCAGACGCCUCCCUUGUCAGACCCCUUGUCCCCUUGUAAAAGUAUAAUUAUGUCCCCUCUCACUUCUCUCUCUCUCCACACUUCUCUCUCUAGUUUUUUUUUUUCAGUUUUUUUUUUUAGUUUUUUUUUCAUUAAUUUUGGUACAAAAAGUUGUUAAUCUUUUUACAGAUCACAAUUUUGCACUUCUCUGAUUUUUGACGAGAGAAAUUGAAAUUAUAAAAAAUUUUAUGUUAUAUUUUAACUUGAUAAAUUAGCUAAAUUCUUUUUUUUUUUUCCUUAGUGAUUUUUUAUUUAAACUGCCAUCAAGAUUUUUUUAUUUUUAAAAAAAAGUAUAAAUUUUAAUUAAACGGUGUAAAAGUUACUAAAAAAUAUUUGAAAAAAUUCAAAAAUUUAACAAUACUAAAGUCUCAUACAAGAAAAAAACUAGGCAACUUGGCCCAAUUUUCACUGGGAACAGCCGCCAAUAAAAAGAUUUUGAUCUAACAUUUGUAUAUGAUGUUCCGAAAAACUGAUUUACAUUGCGUUUGAAAUCGAUGAAAUUAUCUAAACCUCCUCAUUUAUAACAUUGGGGGGGGGGGGGGGGGGGGGGGGGGUACAUUAAGACGUAAAAUGAAUCCACAAUUGGCUUACUGUACAGUUUCGAAACUGGAAGAAUAAUUAGAUGGCGAACAAAAAUUUAAAAAUUUAUAAAAAAAUAGUUACGUAUGUUAAAAAUUCUGGAAAAUUUUAUAUGUUUAGAAAUUUAUAUGUUCAAUUAUUGUGUAUUUAAUUUCACGAAUUGAUGUAAUUAUGUGACAUCCAAAAUAAUUGUACACCUACCUACUGUCAGUAAUCAUGUUUGUCAGAACUGAAGAAUUCGACUAAUUUAUAAAAUAAGUUAAAUGAUAUACUCAUGUAUAAUAUUUUUUUUACUAUAGACCACAACAUAUAUAUGUCAGUAUAUAUGUAAAACUUUUGGAGUCAAAUUAAUUUUAAAUGAUUUUAAUAAAAUAUCACCGAAUCUGUUUUAAAAUGUUAAAACUGUUUGGCCAAAAAAAGAAAGAAAUAUUCAAAUUAUAUUAAAUUUUUAUAAUUAUGACAUUUUAAGAAUAUUAAAUCUAUCGAUUCGAAUAUCAAACGUAGACCCCGAAUUCCCAAAAACGUUAGCUCCGAUGUUUAAAAGAUUUGAGCAUAUUCUUGGUGAGUCCUUGUAGUCGUACAUGCAUAAAAGUAAACUGUUUUAUGUUCUGAAAGCAUGGCUUGUGGUUUUAAACUUGAUGACUGAUAAUGUUUUUUAAUUAAAAGCAGGCUUUGUUUUGUUAUACCAUGAAAUUAUGAACAUGAUAUUUGUGAAAUGUAAUGUUUUAAGUCGCACAUAGUUCCAUACGAUGCCCCGUUCGCUAAGGGGGAGAAUAUAGCGUGGUUGAUUAAUAAGGAGAUCAUGACCAAUGAUUGUGGGAUGAAUUCAUACAAAUGUUUUUAUGGUCUCUCCCUAUAUUCUGGUGUUCGUUGAACGUUUAGGUGUGUCGCAAUUGUCAAUCGAAAUGAAUGUAAAAUUUGAUGUAAUAGUUGGCGUCCUGAGCCAUGAUCCCCGUGAGGGAUUGAAUUUUCUAUUGUAAUCUUGACUGAUAGUCAAGGGAUGGCCUAGUUGAGCCAUGGAUUGACAAAAAGUGGUUUCAUUUUCUAUGUUUUGAAUGAACCUGAUUUUUAUAUAUUUUCAUGGGUGAUGUAUGUUUUAUAGUAUACAGUGGACAAAAGAAGGGAGUCCCCUUCCUCCCCAUCCCCAGUGCUUACGACGUUGUCGCACGUACUCAUUUCAGGUGAUGAAAUGAGGGAGGACGAUUGAGGGCAUGUGACCCUAGUGUACUGAGUUUUUUGAUAGUUCCUGACUGUGUAAAUAGUAUAGGAACUUUUAUGUUUGAACUCUGUUAGUUGAAACUUGUAUAGUUUGAACUGAUACAUAGUAGUUGAACGUUGUGCCGGUUUUUGUGGCCAUAACCGUGUUGAUUUUUUGUAUCACACCAUGACGAUAGUUUUUUAUAUAUUGACACGGCAGCUCUAUUUUUAUUGGAUGCUUCCACACGUAUUUCAUUCAAGCAAUAUAUGUUGAAUGAUGUUAAUAAACUCGCUAAACUUGAAUUAGUUAGAAAGGCCUUAUGAGAUGAAUUGACUGGCCGAUCACGUGGCACCCUGUAUUAUUGGUGAGACCCAUUUAAUGAAGCGGCUCAGGUCGUGACAAAGCACCGCUCGAUAGUUAUGUAUAAAAAAAAUUAAAAAAUUAAAUUUAUUAAAGCAGAGAGAAAACCUUUGGGAUCAAAUAGAAUCACCCAACAUCUCAUUAAAUGAAUAUUAAGUAGAUAGACAAUCGUGCCCUUGACCUUUUUAGAGCAUUUCCAAACUAAAAUCUCUAAAACUCCAUUUUAAAGUUUAAAAUAUAAUUAUUUAUUAAAAAGUGAAUUUAAAAGUCUUUACUAUCUAUAACAUUUUCAACCCAAAAUUUUAAUUUUUUAUAUGCAAAAUGGAGGCCUUGAUAUUGGUCUCCAAAUUUGAGGCCACUCAA
rnacentral:lncRNA from 1 species